rnacentral:pre_miRNA from 14 species
CGACUCGCCAGUUAAGUGAAUGCUUUGCCACAGUCUUAGACAUAGUAAGCUGGGCUAAGAUUCGCUUAGGCUGGAGGGCGUACUGUCG